rnacentral:rRNA from 1 species
AGUGAACGCUGGCGGUAUGCCUAACACAUGCAAGUCGCACGAGUGGCGGACGGGUGAGGAAUACCUCGGACUCUACUCUGUAGUGGGGGAUAACGUAGAGAAACUUAUGCUAAUACCUCAUAAGAUUGAGUGAGCCGAUGUCGGAUUAGCUGGUUGGCGGGGUAAUGGCCCACCAAGGCGACGAUCCGUAGCUGGUCUGAGAGGAUGACCAGCCACACUGGAACUGAGACACGGUCCAGACUCCUACGGGAGGCAGCAGUGGGGAAUAUUGGACAAUGGGCGCAAGCCUGAUCCAGCCAUACCGCGUGGGUGAAGAAGGCCUUCGGGUUGUAAAGCCCUUUUGUUGGGAAAGCGGUACCCAAAGAAUAAGCACCGGCUAACUCCGUGCCAGCAGCCGCGGUAAUAC